rnacentral:rRNA from 1 species
GAUGAACGCUGGCGGCGUGCCUAAUACAUGCAAGUCGAGCGAACAGACGAGGAGCUUGCUUCUCUGACGUUAGCGGCGGACGGGUGAGUAACACGUGGAUAACCUACCUAUAAGACUGGGAUAACUUCGGGAAACCGGAGCUAAUACCGGAUAAUAUAUUGAACCGCAUGGUUCAAAAGUGAAAGACGGUUUUGCUGUCACUUAUAGAUGGAUCCGCGCCGCAUUAGCUAGUUGGUAAGGUAACGGCUUACCAAGGCAACGAUGCAUAGCCGACCUGAGAGGGUGAUCGGCCACACUGGAACUGAGACACGGUCCAGACUCCUACGGGAGGCAGCAGUAGGGAAUCUUCCGCAAUGGGCGAAAGCUUGACGGAGCAACGCCGCGUGAGUGAUGAAGGUCUUCGGAUCGUAAAACUCUGUUAUUAGGGAAGAACAAAUGUGUAAGUAACUAUGCACAUCUUGACGGUACCUAAUCAGAAAGCCACGGCUAACUACGUG